GGAGCAGUUUUGCGUAGUUUCUAGGUGAGGCAUUUUGAGGAAAGCAGCUUUUUUUUUAUGGCAUUGGACCAAAAAAUUGGGAGCUGUUUGAAAUAAGGCAGAAUGUUUGUAAGCAAGUGGCAGAACUCCAUCCAAGGAAGAAUAUUGCUGUCUGGCUUUGAAGACAGGACUGUGUCUAGACAGAGCAUUUGUCUUUUUGAGGAGGCAGCCCCCACAGGUGCACUGACCUGAGGGGAUAAGGCAAAAAUGGGUGCAAUUCUAUGAAUGCUUCCUGUGUGGUUUUGGACAAUACAGGUCAUUCUUCUGUGCCUCUGCUCAUCUGCUUUCAAAUAUGAAAAUGUCAUCCUUCUUCCCACACCUUUUCAGCUGAAACAUUGACCCCAAGAGGGAUCAGCUCUUUCUAUGGGCUGGUACAAUUUGGCAAAAGAGGUACCACAGAGCAAGACACAUCUGAAAUCUCAGGAGCUGGGGAGAUGCUGUCAGAUAUAAUUUGUAUCUGCUUUUUCAUAUCUGGAAAUAAAAUAAGUUAUAGAUUAAAAAGAUGAGUUAGAGAGCAAAAGGAACUCUGGAUAAGCGAAUGUUUCCUGGUCAUGUGCAUAUGAAAGCCAGAAAUAUAACACAUAAGAAGUAAUAGAAAAAAACCCCACUAUCCCUGGAAAUGUAUGCUUGAGAAUCUGAAAUGCAGAUACUAUUUUAGAAAGGGAAGAUUUGUGUCUGUAUAUACUAGGAAAUCUUAUGAAUGAAAAUGUUCUGGAUUUAUGAUACUAGCACUAUUUAAUGGCAGGCAACAAGUUCUUUGAGAAGAGCUAAUGAUCUGGUUCCGUGAUGCUCUGAAUACACAUCCCUACCCCCACCACCUCCACCCUCCUGAAAAAAUACAGUCGGAGAGAAAGAGCUAGAAAAGAGUAUGGUCACCAAUUACUCUUCCAGCUUUUACUUUCCUGGCCAGGCCACUUCUGCUCUACUUCUCUCCACCCCAGGAUACUAGUGAUUGCUCAGUCUGCCUCAGACAGCUGCAAAGUUAUCAUUCAGUACCUCUGAUAGGGCAAUUCGUUUACAGCUGCUGCUGUCCCAAUCUUUCAUCCCUCUCUGCUGCUUACACCAAAUAGUUUAGAAAUAUGAAUAACCCCUCCAGGAAUGUGAAGCAGCCAGAGGGAAUGUGUGUGUGCGUGUUUAGUUGCCCAGGUCUGUGCAGGCUUCUCUGUACAAAGCACAAUGCCUGUUCUUUGCUCAGCAUGCUCCUGGGCUAUACCCAGUGUUGGGUCAAUGCCCUUGACUCUGCAGGAUGGCCAACAGCCUGCAAGAGCAAAGGUGGCUAAAGAUUAUUGCUUUCAUAACAGUAUACACUAUGUUAACCGGAGCUGGCAUGUUUUCUCUUGCUGCACAUCACUGGCUUGAUACAGUAGGUAUCUCUGCAUAUAAGGAAAAUGGAAUGCCCAGCAGGAUAGUGCAAUGGUAUCUCAAACGUGGCCAGCUAAUUGUUGCCCUGUCCCUCUGAGGCACUGCAAAAAUACAUAUAUAUCUAGGUGCAAAACUAACACAGCAAACGUGUAUGCUUGGGAUUCAAUUUCUUCUGUGAAAGAUAUACUCAGACCUGUCAGACUGCAGUUGAUUUGCAGUCCUGCUCAGGAGGGACAAUAAGUGAAGUGAGAAGUGCCUGUAGGAAGGCUCUGGCUGCAGCAAGGAGCUCAAUCCUGACUGAGCACUGGCCAGAUGUCUUGAUAUGAUGUGAUGCUUAUGGGCUUCAGCCCUGUCGAGUUCAUUUUCCUGGUAGGUUGCCCUCUGUGCAGGGCCCAGUACCCCUCCAAAGUGCACUGGUGCAUUCACAGGGAUGGGAGAACUCAGGUGCUGUUUCUCCUCCCAUAGCUUGGGCAGUCUCCAUGGGGUUGUCCAAUGCCUUUUGCAAGUGUUGCACUCAUACGUAAUGUCUAAAUGCAUUUAAUCGGUCUUUAAGGCUAUAUGCUUGUCUUCAACCUGGCACAACUGGAGGUUUAAUUGGCUACCAUAACACACAUAAAUAAUAAAAAUAUGCCAAUUAGAUAAAAUUAUGCUUAUUAAUUCAGUAACUACUUCGUGUUAUGUAUCAUGCAUAAAGGUCUACGAAUAUUGCUGUAUACUAGCUGUGCUGUCUCAUAAGCCAAAUAUACAGAUACACAUUUGGAUCUCAUGCUGGGGACUCGCUCCUGUGCCUCUGCUUGAAAUGCCAGGUUUUAAUCACAAAAUAUAGAGACUUUUGAUUUUAGGUUACACUGUUACAAAACGGGUUUAUGUGACCAUUUGCAACCUUGAAAUUCCUUCACAUAAAAUCACUUGUCCACAUCAUGCCUGUUUUCUAACCUGUAGGAAAGGUGCGAUGACGGCUAGUUGUUUAUAGGGGCUGGCUGAAAAUGAAAGACAUUUUAUUUCAUGUUCUCAGUUCUCCAUUUGCCAGGGAAGUCUAAAGGUGCUCUUGAUGCCAAGCUGCUUUGAAAAUAUAGCCCUUAAUUUUAGCAAGUCUUUGAAGACAAAGUGUCAUUAUUGUUGGUGUUUCCAGCUUUCAGCAGAUCCCCAAAUUUGUGAUAUUGUAUUUCUGUCUCCCUCCAGCCAAAAUAAGGCAGUGCACAGCCAACUUGUAAUGAACAGAAGAGCAAGUUGCUUUGUCAUACCUCUGAUGAAAUACCUGUAUUUGAAUUUGUAUCAACUUAGAGACAAGAAUCAGGCUGUUCUUAGUCCAAAACAAUUUGUUCAUAUUUAGUUGACAAACAGGACUAUAAAAAUUUCUUGUGUUCAGUCUCAGGCUAUUGUUGGCACCAUGCUCUAUAAUCUCUUCUAUUAUCAAACUCCUCCAUAAAAAUAGCCUUUUUUUUUUUAUUGCCCUUCAUCACUGAGGGAUACUUUUCAUAUUCUAAUCCUUUUAGAGUAAGGUGAUUUGACACCUCAUAUAGUCUUCAAGGCAGAAUAUAUUAUGAAGGAAAAAUUAAGCAGUAAUAUUUAUUCUCUGAUUGCCUUUAUAAACUAACACAUCUUGGCACACAGCUUUUUUAUAUCUCUGAUGUGUACAAGGGAUGAAAGUUAUCAGUACAAAUAAAUGCAAAAGCCAUUAAGGAUGCUGUUGCAGGUAACUGUGAUAUUUAUUUGUGUACAAAUGGGGGGUUUCUAAGGCUUGCAGUAUCGUUCAAUAGAAAUUACAGGGUGGGAGUUUUUUUAGUAUUAGCAGUUGUUAAAUGUGUCAAAGCCAGUGAAGUCAGAGGAGCUGUACAAAGACAAAUGUAUGAGAAGCAUGACAGCGAGUGAAGCUCACUGAUGAAUUCUAGUAAGAUUGAUUGGAAAAGAAUCACCUCAACUUCUUGUGUGUUAGUGGAUUUUAAAUUAAUUAUAUUUUAACUGCUUUGGAGAUGGACCCGAGAACAAAUUCAUGGAGCCC